rnacentral:lncRNA from 1 species
AGAUUCCCGUGGGGCUAUGGGUGUGCCCGACACACCCACUCGGCUGGUGUUCUCCGCCCUGGGGCCCACAUCUCUGAAGGUGAGCUGGCAGGAGCCACAGUGUGAUCGAGCACUGCUGGGCUACAGCGUGGAAUACCAGCUACUCAACGGCGGUGAGCAUAGUGACUGUUGGCCGUCACGUUUCCAGGACUGUCCCAUCGCAGUAAGGCAGGAUCCCUCCAAGUCAGCUGAGGCUUUGCCUAUCCCCCGGGGGCCUUUACUGCCCGUUUCUUAAACUAGGUUUUUGCUUAAUGGGGCUUCAUGGACCUAGGGCCUCUGCUAACUGGAAUAGCCUUGUAAGAACAGGGAAAUGACACCCCUGGGCAGACACAGUCACCAGAGUGCGGGCUUUGACCAGAGCAUUGGUGGGACAUCUUACUCUUCAGUAAAGGCUCUACCAUUGAGUUACAACGCCCAU